UCAUCUAAGGAAACCUGCACAGAGGGAGCUCGCCAGCCUAAGAGAGAAGCCAUUCAAGCUACAACCAUGGGAAAUUCCAUAGGGAUGGGACCACUCAAACCCUUGGAGCUCGUAACUUGUCACAGAUUGCCUCAGGUGUUUGUCCUGCUGGAUUGUGGACUUGCUUUGGUCCCAUUCUUUUGUAUUCCCAUUUGUAACAUUUGGAAUGGAAAUGUUUAUCUUGUACUGUUAAAUAUUGGAAGUGUUAACAUUUCAUUUGUACAAAGGUUUGCAGCUAAGAGUUUGUUUGCCUUACAUCUUGGAGGAAACUUGGGACUUGGACUUUUCAGUAAUGCUGAAAGUCUCUUAGAGAUAGACUGAAUGCCUUUCACGUAAAGGGCUAUGCCAUGAGUCUUUGGGGACCAGGGGCAGAAUGUUAUGGUUCUAAUGUAAUAUAAUGGUGAUAGACUUAAUAUUAUUUAAGGGUUGUUAAAUCUGUGUUACAAUGUUCAAGUUGUGAAAUGUUAAGAAUAAGCAUGGCGGGCUGGGGAGAUGGCUCAGUAGGAUAA